UUCAAGCGUCUGUUUUGUCAUCCUCGAUAUCGUUUUAAUUAUAUUCCCAUUUAAAUGUGGCGUGAUUGAACGCGACUUUGGGACAGGCUGUGGAUUUCGAUUUUAGAUUUUGUUAUUUUCGAUUCAAACAAUAAGGGUUACUUCCCUUGAACAAGAACCUUGAAAUAUUAAAAUGACAUAAUCCUACUGUAAAUGCUUUAGUAAGGUUUAACUGUUUCAUAUGUCGUUCAAAUCAAGGGAACAACAUUGCCUCAACUUAAUUAUUUGUAUAUUUCUAUGCCUACCAAACCACGUUAAAUACCCUAGAAAAUAUAGCUUGUUACUUUGGCAAGGAUAUGAUGGAUAAUCGGCAAGUACGAAAUGUUGCACUAUGUUAAAUUGAAAUUGGGGGUGGCAGGAUGGUCUGGGAAGAGAUGCAAAUAAAACGGACCGCUAAAAAAAUACUUGGUAGUGAAAGAGUCGUACAUGGGGGCUGAUGCAAUUCUGUGUGAACAUAUUGCCGUUGUUUUUCUUAUUCGUCAAAAGGGCUACACUAUUCACAGAUUUGGGAAUGAUAUUAGUAACUGGAGAAUCUGUCAAAGUAAUCACUUUGCCAAAGGGUUUCCACGGUCGUUGUCCUCUUCCCCAAUAGAAACUUGCUUUUUUAUACAUUUAAUCGGAAUCUAUGAGAAAGGAACUGAGUUUACCACGCAUCAGACAACAUGGAAUGUCUGUGAGAUGAACGAAACUGUUCACUGAAUUGGAUCCGUCAGGGAUUUGUACUUUUAGCCAGUGAUUUUGAUUUGCAUAAGGAUAUCUCAGUGAAAAAAAUAUCAGAAUCAGCUAUAUGAUCACUGUCUUGUACAACUUGAAGUUAGUUAUUUUCUGGGAGCUAGACAAUAAUAAAGAUUAAAAUUACUCGAAAUUGCAAAUGAAGUGAAGAGGGGAAGCAGCGUUCAUGGAUUAAUGGACCGUUCAGGAAUCUGAUGGCGGAGGAGAAGAAGCUGUUAUUUCAGUAUAAAUAGCUAUAUUCGUACUAAAUCACAGAUAGUAAAAUAGUCUCAGGACGCACAUUAUUUCCGGCGGUAUUCUGUCGCGCCAGAAAUGGCUGCAAUUUUCCCGCUCGGUCUCCUUUUCUUCUAGCGGGGAGCUCUGGCGUUUGGUGAAUCAAGGGUUAAUAACGGCGGCUUCCUUCAUCAUUUUGAAGCUAAGUAAGGAUGAUGGUGGCAGGCCGGAUUAUUUUUUGUGCGAACGUCUUCUUCUCCGCAGGCUGCGCAAUGAUAAACCCAUCAUCCAAAAUCUGCAGAACGAACGAGGAUCGGCGGCAAUACCUGGGAAGCCAGGGGCGAACCUAAGCACUGAACGCAGUCUGUUCUGUGAAACUUUUUUUUACUAUCAUCCUUCUUGCUUGCCAUCGGAAUCUAAAGGCCUAGCUUUUGAUUGAAAUCAGUUACCACGAGGUAAUUGCUUAACUUCUGAGAGCCCCUGGCCGUAUCAAUCAAUAGGACACGAAAAUGCAGAGGGCGAUUCAAAACUGGUGGCACCCCAUCUGUCCAAGCUGUUUAUUUAUCAAAUAUCUGAGCUACUGUAUCAUCUUAGCUGCUAUUGUCAAUGUGACGAGCGAGAAUCUCUGUCAGCAGGUUUAAAGAUAACCCAUCAGCAAUUACUAUUUAAAAACGUUUGCUAACUUCCAAUACCAAAAUGUUCUUGUAGAGCAGAACUAUUGUUGGUAAUUAUCACACAGUCUCACAGGAAUAUACAACGCACUUUUAAAGUCUAAUAUACAAUAUCAUUUUUUUCCUAAAUGCUUUCUUACUGUUUUGAAUGUUAACUUGAUUUUAUACAUUUUGGAAUUUCUUAAUCUAUUGCUUUAUCCUUUUAGUCAUUGCAAGAAUUGACCACUUAGAGUUGUUAGCUAAUUUGUAUUAACUAUUUUCUCUCAUUUUAUUAAUCAAUGUGUUAUGACCUAUUUGUUUUAGUGCCCCUCCUGUUAAGAGAAAAUUGCAAUGUUUAUUAAAUAGCCCUGACCUUCUAUCCAAAAGCAUAACGGAGUCUUCCGCAUCCAAUAGUAUGCUGAGCUCGCUACGAGAGUAAGGUACAAAGAAAAAACACCCUAACUGCCUGGAAGACGAUCAUAAACGGUAACAGAAUUUCUGCAUUCAUGGGAGGGGAUUGUAGCAAAAAUAAUGUGCAUACAAUCUAUGACAACCAACAGUGAGAGGGCAGUGCUCUUUGCUUAUAGCUACUUUCGGUUAGUUUUGCACUCGUCCUGAAGAAAGGUGUCUGCCCGAAACGUCGGCUGUUUAUUCAUUUCCAUAGAUGUUCCCUGACCUCCAGCAGUUUGUACGUGUAUUACUAUAUGUGAAAUCUCGAGCUGAUACGUUACUUUUGCGAGAGGACUGGAGAUACUUAGGCAAUUAUGUCAAUUCAACUUGAUACUUGGUGGCCGUCACGUGAAUUGUACGCAUAUUAUUUCGUUUAGAUUAUGAAGUUUGAUUUCACUAUUUUUUGUGGUUUUGCAUUAACAUUUGUCGAGUAUUUUCGAGAAGGAUUUGACUGCCCCUAUCGAAGUGAUGGGGUGGGGACGCCUGGUUUGCACGAGUUAAUGCAACUCUGCGUAUUUGUAACAAAACGUGUAGGUUUUCAUUACAACUAAGAAUAACAGCCAUUUAACAACCAAUAAAGAGUAGAAUAAAUCAAUAUUCAAGCACCUACCAUUAUCCAUUGAGUCUUAUUAGCUGGAAACUGCAUUGUAAAAGGGAUUACUUCUAUCUGACCCAAAUCAGUUUUCUUUUGGUUUUUGGGUUCCUGUUCUAUGUAAAAGUGAUAUCUUUAAUCUGGGAGGCCAAAUCUUUUUCUUCUAUAUUUUCUCCUUGGCUUUGUAAAAUUUUUAAAGAUGCAUUAAGUAUAGGCAAAUUACCACAAUCUUUUUAUGAAGCUUCUAUUUCUUUAAUUCUUAAAAAAGAUAAAGAUCCUACUGAAUGCACAUCCUGUCGGCCUAUAUCCUUGUUGAAUACAGAUUUUAAGAUUUUUAGUAAAAUUUUGGCUAUUAGAUUAGAAAAUAUAUUACCUCGAAUUAUUUCUGAAGACUAGACUGGAUUUAUUAAAAAUUGCUAUUCAUCUUUUAACAUUAGAAAAUUAAUUAAUAUUAUUUAUACUUCUUCAUCUAAAAUACCAGAAUGUGUCAUUUCUUUAGAUGCUGAAAAAGCAUUUGAUAGAGUUGAAUGGCCAUAUUUAUUUAAUACAAUGCAACAAUUUAAUUUUAGUUCAAAAUUUAUAUCAUGGAUUACAUUAAUAUACCAUAAACCCUUAGCUUCGGUUUUUACCAAUAAUCAAAGAUCCCCUUUUUUUCAGUUAUUUCGUGGUACAAGGCAAGGUUGCCCUUUAAGUCUUUUACUAUUUGACAUUGCUUUAGAGCCUUUGGCUAUAGCUAUUCGUGAAUUACCCAAUAUUCUGGGUAUUACCCAUGGGGAGAGGACGUAUAAAGUAUCAUUAUAUGCUGAUGAUUUGUUAUUAUACAUAUCUGACCCUGAAAGAUCUAUUCCUGCUAUUUCGUCUUUGCUUGCUCAAAUUAGUAACUUUUCUGGUUAUAAAUUGAAUUUUAACAAGAGUGAAAUAUUUCCAUUAAAUAUGCAAGUUCCAAUUUAUAAACAUUUACCAUAUAAAAUUGUUACAGAUUAUUUUAUUUACUUAUUUAUUAAAAUUACUAAAAACAUAAAUAGCAGACCUAUACUUGGAAUUCUGGAUCAGAAUGGUCCAACAUAGACCAAUCUAAACCAAUCCCUCAAAAUCACUCUGAAUACAGACUGGGCACAGUCCCACUCUGGUUCUUCUUUUCUGUACUUCAUUAAUGGCUGCGAGUCCUUCUUACUUUGGCCCUGUGCUGAAUAACACCAUGAUUUUUUAAUUGAAUUGGGGGAUCUAAUUCAACACUUAUGAGUUUCCACAUUCAUAUGAAAUUCACUAUUGCCUUUUGUGUGUAAAGACAGUUUUUGGUAGUUUUAGGAAAAGAGUACAGGCUGUGCCAAGGCAAGGGUUACAUUAAAUUCACAAUUACCUUGUAAGCUUAAGCACUGAGGACUUUACUAUCCAGCACCACCUUGAUCAGGGAAUCAUUUCUUUAAUUUGGACAAUUGACCAGGUUACUCCUCUGAGAAGUAUGUGGGGUGGAAACCAGAGUAUUAUAAAAUAUAGAAAGCAAACUCCCAAAAAUCCGAAUUUAAAACACAAAAUGCUGGAAAUACCAGAACUUCGUGCAGCAUUUGUAGUGAGAGAACCGUGUUAAUUAUUCAGGACAAUGACCUUUCAUCAGAGCUGAGUGAAGUUAGAAUUAAGCUGACAGUUCCAGAAGAAUGGACGAAGUGUGGUGAGACAACAGGGAAAGUCUGUGAUUGAAUGACAUGUGUUGGUGGAGCUGGCUAAAAGAAAAUGGAAAAGGUUGUCUGGAGGAGAUAUAAAUAAAUGGGAAUGAAAUCUAAAAUGCCAGAAAACGAGGGAGGCAAAAAUACUGAAUGUUGGAAAUGUAAGGUACAAAACUGGAAUGGCUGAUGAAAACUGUCGGAGAAUUCAACAGAAAGCUGUUGAAUUUGAUGCUGAAUGCCUGGCUGGGCAGUAAGUUGAAAGGAGUUCAUCAACCUGUCUGAUUUUCCCCAUGAGGAAGACCAUAUUGUAAGCACCAAAUGUAAUAUAUUAAAAUUGGUUGAAGUGUGAGUGAGUCUGCAUCUGAUUGGUAUAUUUAGGUACUGGAUGACAAAAGGAAAAGAUAAUAGAACAGGCAUAGCUUGUACUAAGGUUGCAUGUGAAGGAGAGUAGAUAUGAUGUUGAUGGAAGUAUGAACUGCAGGGCUGUAAAGGAGUGUAGAGGUGAUGUCAAUGGAAGUGUGGACUAUAGUGCUGUGAAUAGAACAGCCCUUAUGAAUGCUGAAAUGAGCAUUCAGUGAAGUGCUGUCUGGAGUCUGAUCUCUUGAUUGGUCUGGUGGAGGAUAAGGGGAAAGCUUUAAUUCUCAUUGGAGGAGAGGGGCUGUAUGAGAAAUGGAGCAGCAGUGACUGAGAGCUCCAUCAGCCAUGGUGAAUAGUUAACCAGGGUUAAUGAAAAAGAAACAAAUAUUGGAGUGCAGCAGAACUAUUCAGAAGCAAAUCUACAUCUGUUUUACAGACCUGUUAGCCCGGUUCUGAAAGUUUUCAGUUGGUCAGUGAAACGUUAGAUCAUGCUUUAUGGCAGAUGAAGGUUCAAGUAGUGGAUGUUAUUUCAGGUGUAGUUCCAGGUCUCUUAAGAGACCGUUAGUGAAACAAAAAAGAAGCUUUUGCCAUGUUUAUUUGCAUGCUUGAUGAAUUUUGUGUAUUCUCUAGAUUUAUUAAUGAUUACCAUAAUGGAAUAGAAAAUAGAUGAAGUAUUGGAGCUAGACUGAAGAAUACAAGUGAAAACAGAUAGAAGAUUAAACAAUUGCACUAAUAGAGCUCACAGUGUAUAUAUAAUCAUCUAUUUGGACACAGAAAAUAACACUUAAAAAUAAUACAUGAAAAUAAAUAGUGAAAAGCUACAACAGAGGAAAUCUGAAUAAAUUUUAAGGUCUAAAUGCAGCAGGAACUGAAAAUUAUUAAAAAGACCAAUGGAAUUUUUAGUCAUGUAGAUAUAAUAGGAUCUUUUAAGAAACUCUCAGAUAGAAAAAUAGAGGGAUAUGUGCUAGGGAAAUUCUAGGCAGUCUCUAGAGUACAUGGUCGGCACAACAUUAUAGGCCAAAGGGCCUCUAAUGUGCUGUAAAUUUCUAUGUUCUCUGGUUAUUCUCAUCCUCCUAAUAUUAUUGGAUUCAGAUCAUGCUGGGCACUAUACCUUGAAGGAUAUAUUGCCCUUGAACGGGUCUGUAUGUGUCUCCAGCAGUUUGCUUUUUAUCACGAUGCUACUUGGCAAUAUCAUUGUAUUCCAUGGACUGAUGGGUGGUUUGUUUCAUGUUUCCAGGAUAUUCAGGGAAAUGAUGUGGUAGGUACAAAUUACUGUAACUGGUUAGUGUCUAGGACUUGGGCAUUGUAUUGAAAAAUCAGUCUCAGCAAUGAAGACAGGAAACAGUUUUAUUUCAAUUGAUGCCAAGUUAUUAAUUUAAAAAUUUAGAAUGAUAUAUUUUCAUUAACCAAAAUAAUUGAAGCUUCCAAAGCAAAUGCACCAAAUUGAGUUGGGUGAUAUAUUAGUCAUGAACUCAUUAUAGUGCACGCAGUCUCACUCUGUUAUUUGGGCUGCAAUCAUACUGGACCUGGUCUUUUUAUCCUCACCAGUUCCUAAAGAUCUAGGCAUUGUUGGCAAGCCCAGCUUUUGUAGCUCACCCUUAGUUACACAUCAACUGAGUGCAUUGCAAGACCAUUUCACAGUGAGUAUUUAUUUUUGUGCUGUAGAGAAGGACAUCAGUGAAACUCACGGAUUUUGAUGGUGGUCCUGACUUUGUUUUUAAGUUCCAGGUUAUAAAUCUAAAUUUAAAUUCCGUAAUUGUUGUUUGGACUCUGACCUCUGGAUUACUUGUCCUGUUCUUUUUAUUACUAGUUGAAAGCUUUAACCAUUGUGCCUCGACUGUAGAGUUGACAUUGAUGCUCCUCUCCACCAACCUAUAAGAGCAUACCAUGCUUGCUUAAGUGGAAUUUGCUGGACCUUCAAUUCUUGGACACUUCUGCAAGGUCCCAGAAUUGAGCUUCAAGCAGUAUAUGACUGAGACCUUGCUUCUAGAACACUCAUCUUCCAGCUUGUCCUCUUUCCCCUCCCCCCACCCUCUUAUUCUGGCAGCUUCCACCUUCCUUUCCAGUCUGAUGAAGAGCCUCAUCCCGAAACAUCAACUGUUAAUUCUUUCCAUAGAUGCUGCUGGACCUGCUGAAUUUCAGCAGCAUUUUGUGUAUGUGUUGCCAGGAAUACCCCUACCAGCCUUUGAUGGAAGGCAAGUCAGAGAAAGGACCUUUGCUUUGUGUGAAAGCUAUCAAUGAACUUAAUUAAUGUCAUUGACAAUCAAAGAUACUUAAAACCUAUUAAUAUUGUUGUAAAUAAUUAAAAUUUCCACUAAAGAGAGAGAAAUGAAUUAGAAGCAGAUAAUGAGUUAAAGAUCAUUAAAACAAAAAUAAAAUCACUUUAAAAGAUAAUUUACUUCACCUAUUUUGCAGGCUUAGAAUCUCAUUCACAGGAGUGGAGUCUCUGAUUCCACACCAGGAUUGAUAUGACACAGAAUCAGAGAUGCAGAUCCUCCAACUUAGUAUCACAGCACUCUAGCAAGACGUGGCACUGUCAUUGGACUCCACAUGGCACCCAGGAUCAAGAGUCGGGCCAGUGGAAGAGCAGAUUGACAGUCCUCUGAGUAAAGAAAAUUCCUUCCAUCUCAAUUCUAAUUGGUUGACCCAUUAUCCGGAGAUUGUGCUGUAGCUCAUAUUCUCCGAACUGAGGAAUCUGAUUCUCAGUACUAUUUGAUCACCGUAUAUUCUAACAGACUUUGUAAACAUGGACAAUCUUGCCUUUAUAGGGCAUACAUAAAUCAAUCUAAUGAACUUAUAUUCCAAAACUUCUGAGCAAGUCUAUCCAUCUUUAUGUAGAGAAAUCACAUCACACAAACCCUGUACAGAGUCACUGAAGGAUAUGGUGAUGUCUUGAUUAUGUCAGAACUUUUUAUUUGUCACCAUUGUAAGCAGAACAUAAUUCCUCAAGAAAUAGUUGGCAUGGACACCUUCCGCUUCUGGCAGUUAUGCAUAAUAUUGAUUACUGAAAGAAGUAUGUUCAUAACAGAGUAGGGCUGUCCCUUUUUAUCCAAAGACUGAGGCAAGAGAGAAUACCCAUUUUCAUCCCAAGAGUCUGAUCAUAUAUUGCAGCUGCUGUUGACUUUUCAGUCAAAAAUAAUCUUGUUGGCGCAUAGGGUAGAGUGGAGAAAAUCCUAUGUGGUUGUAAGGCACGUGUGUGUGAGAAACGAGCAGUUCUGAAAGUAGAAUAUUUAAUGCAGGAAUUUGCUUGUCAUUGAUUCUCUUGGAUUAGCAUAAGAAAUUGGUUAUUUUUGGAUGCUGAGGCUUGAGAUCAGUGUGAUGGCUGGCUGUUAAAAGCAAGUGUUUUGUUUCAUUGGAAGAAGUCAGUGAGUGGAGACAGAUUUCAUACAGGUAAUAUUGGUUUGUUUAAGUAUCACAGUAUCCUGGCUGAAUCUGUUUUAGCUGUCAGGUGGCAAUUGAAACUGAAUGCACUCCUAGUCCAAGAAGUCUCUUCGUCAUUAGCAUUGCCGACACAUUUUAUUGGUGAAAGUCAGAAAUGAUGAUGAAAUUGGAUUUAAUUCCUGCUCCAGUCUGAAAAUGAUCAUUACUUUUGCUAGCAGGAGAACUGACUCACAGCUUAGGCUUCAUCUGAAAGAUUUUCAUGAGCUAUGGAUGCCUGUUCAGUCUUCUCAUGCAAUUCAUUAAUUUUCGCAGGAAAUUUUGGGCUGGAUGUGAUUCCCAAAGAACCUCUCAGAUUGAUUUGGGGAUUUGAAUUCAUGAGGUGCAAGUGGAAGCCAGUUGUACCACAUAGUGAUGUUCUGGAAUCUCAGUGGAAUCUCUGGAAUGGGUGGAAUUCUAUAAGGUUAGAUUAGUAGUGAUUAUGGAGCUGAGAAAAGCAUCUGACCCCUGACAUAAUUGAUUGGUGUGUAAAUAUCUAAUAUAGUGUUAUUCUACAGCAUUGUCUUUCGGCACCUUGACAACCAUGAAGUAUCAGAAUCCGAAUCAAGUUUAUUAUCACAGAAGUAUGUUGUGAAAUGUGUUGUACAGCAGUAAAGGGCAAGACAAAAAUCACUGUUGGUUACAAAGUUAAAUAAUUCAAAAAGAUUAAUUAAUUAGAUAGUGUUCAUGAGUUCAUGGACUAUUCAGAAAUCUGUUGGUGGAGGGGAAGAAGUUAUUUUUAAAAUACUGAGCGUGAGUCUACAGCCCCCUGUUCUCCUCCCCAAUGGUGAAGAGGACAUGUCCUGGAUGAUGAGGGUAUUUAAUGAUGGAUGCCACAUUCUUGAGUCACUGCCUCUUGUGAUCCUGUGCUUUUGAAGCUCUGUACCCGGCUGUGAUGCAGCCAGUCAGAAUGCUCUCCACGGUGCCUCUGCAGAAAAUUGCCAGUCUUUUGUGACAUUCUAAAUCUCCUCAAACUCCUAGUGAAAUAUAACCACUGGCAUACCUUCUUUGUGAUUGCUUCAAUCUUCACUGACAAUCCAGCACAGGGGUGUCUCAAAGAUGCAUGCCUAGCCCACUGCUCUGUACAUUCAUGACUGUGCGGCUAGGCACAGCUCAAACGUUAUCUAUGAAUUCACAGGUGACACUGCUGUUGGCUGAAUUUCAGAUAGCUGCAAGGAGGUGUAAAAGAAUCAGAAUAAGUUUAUUAUAACUGACGUACCUUGUGAAAUUUGUUUUAUGGCAGCAAUACAGUGCACUGCAUAAAAAUGACUUUCACAAUAAGAAAUGCAUAUAAAUAAAAAAUGCUAAAAGAGAGGAAAAUAGUGAGGUUGGGAUCAUGGGAUUAUGGACCAUUCAGUAAUCUGAUAGCUGAAGGGAAGAAGCUGUUCCUAAAAUGUUGAGUGGACAUCUUUAGGCUCCUGUCUGACAAUAGUAAUGAGAAGAGAGCAUGUCCAGAAUGGCUACUGUCCUUAAUGAUGGAUACCGCUGCCUUGAAGCAACACUAUCAGCUGCUUGAGUGGUGUCACAACAAUUUUAAAAAACGCUUCUUAUAAUUCAGGAUUAAAAUUUUCUCUAUCAUUUUAUUACAAGGGAAGAUUGUAAAUGCAAUCAAUGAGCUUCCUCUUUGAAAAAUCUCAACUUUUCAUCACAGCUCUCAUAAAAGAAAUAAACAUAGUAAGGUCAUUCACAUGCACAGUGCAAUUUUGUAGAUAGAUUGGUUGUAAUAACCUUCACAGCUAUCAGUAAAGCUGUUAUACUUGCAAGAUGUCAUUCUAAAUCUAUUCACAGCUGUUAACAUGGGUUUAUCAGAAUCUGUCAACUGAACCUAUUUGCUUCAUAUUAAUUUCUGAUGGUCAUACUGUUCAAGCUUAUUUUUAGAUUAGGCGACACUUCAUUUGUUGGUUUGUUUUUCUUCUUUAGCAUGUUUGUGGUUAUGAAAGAACUGCUGCAAAAACACUGGUUUAUCUUAAAAUGACACUGUAGCCAUCAAACAGAUUGGGGAAUGCUUUGUGUCCAUGUGCAGUUCAACUCUAUCCCAAAUUUAAUAGAAGUGUUCUGUGUUCUAGAGAACAAAGCGUUGUUUUUAAGUUAAACCUCUAAACUGCUGAGCAACAUUUUUUGUUUAGCUUCUUGUCCUAAACAGGAGCCAGUCUUCAGUGCUUACUGUAAAUAGCAAGCAGUAAUCAGUUUGAAAUUAAAAGAACAGCUUUGUAAACAAGCACUUCCUAUAGAGCAGACUUGCGAGCCCACCGCACUUGGGCUUACUGCUUAAGAGGUGCAUUGUAAGACAAUGAACCAUAGAACACUACAGCACAGUACAGGCCCUUCAGCCCUCCAUGUUGUGCUGACCCAUAUAAUCCUCAAAAAAAACUAAACACACACUACCCCAUAACCUUCCAUUUUUCUUUCAUCCAUGUGCCUGUCCAAGAGGCUCUUAAAUACCCCUAAUGUUUUAGCCUCCACCACCAUCUGUGGCAAGUCAUUCCAGGCACUCACAACCCUCUGUGUUAAAGAAAAAACUUACCCCUGAUGUCUCCCCUAAACUUCCCUCCCUUAAUUUUGUACAUCUGCCCCCUGGUGUUUGCUAUUGGUGCCCUGGGAAACAUGUACUGACUAUACACCCUAUCUAAUCUUGUAGACCUCUAUCAAGUCCCCUCUCAUUCUUCUACGCUCCAAAAAGAAAAGUCAUUUAAAUUAUUUAAUUUGGCUAGUUUCAGACUAGACAACACUGGCUGGGUUAUUUAGUUUAAGGAAACUUAUAGACCAAAUUAAUAUUACCAUUUAGCACAUCAAAUAGCUAAUCUGUUAAUAGUUGGAAGAAUUGUGUACACAGGGAGUCAGCUUCACAGCAUUUUAGACCAUUUGUGUUAAAAGGCAUCUGAAAAAAUAUCGCAUGUGUGUGAACUCACCCAAGUGACAGAGAAACAGUAUAACUGUAAAGUUCAGUCCAGGCUUUUUAGAAAUAGUCCAGGAACAUCAAGAAGAAUGACAGAAGUACGGGGAGAACUAAAUCCAUUCCUCUGCUUUCAAUUUCUGUGACAGGUGACUGGUUCAUUUGUGACAUACGGAUAUGUCUUUUUAGCUUACAGGAACUGUACCCUUCAGUUUUAGAAAUGUUGUAAUUUCUAAGAAUUUCAUAAGAAAACCUCUGAGUUUUAUAUCUGUUUUAAGGAUUAUGUCUGUUUUUAAACAUGUAUCACUAAAAAUAAAUGAACUGUGUUUAAAUGCCUUUGUUAGCUGGAAGUAUCUCCUCUUUGAUAGGGAGGGGAGACCCAUUACUCAAAUAGUUGGUACUAGCAGCUAAAAUUGCUAUGGAGUAUAAACUGGGAAGUGAACUAGUCUUUGAAGAUUGGGUAGUUACAGUAUAAUCUCCUUUUAGUCAGGGUAUCUGUGGCUAUCUAUAUCCUCCAAUAGGGCUGAAGGUCUUUGUUUGAAUCAGAACUUCGAGGUCAGCAAACACAAUACCAUCACACAAAGAGUAAAGUUACAUUGAAACACAGUGUCAGAAACAAAAGUUAUCAAUGAUUUCCAAGAACACUUCCAUUGUUUUCAGUGGUUAGGUCAGAUUUUACCACGUGUUCUUCAUCCUCACAGGCUACUUUAGUAUUUUGGGGAUUAUCCGUGAUAGUAUUGACCUGACAGGCAUCUUCACUUGAACUUAAAUGUUUCCACAUCUCAUUAGCAUAAAUUCUACACUGUUAAGGGCACUUUAUCAUUGCCUGGAUCAGUAUCUUGGUUUUGCCCUAAUUAAUGCUAUUUUAGCAGUGAGUACUUUGGUAGGUUUAUGCUCAGGGAGAUGCAUGAUCUGUUUAAUCUGGAGGAAGAAUGUGACUGGUGGUGACCAAUUGGCCAGAGUGAUUGACCAGCCAUUUCGUGGACAUCUUAUUUGAAAUUUUGAACUGAAGUUUAAUCUUUAGUAGUAUGCAAACCAAUUAGAAUUUGCCUAUCUGUAUAUCUGAGCCAUGUUCAAUAAUGGCACUACUGAGAGAUAUACUGAGAUUGCAAAUUAGAUAAGGUAUCCACAUGUAAAUUUCGGAACCCAGUGCGGAGCUCGCAAAUGUGAUAUGCCAAUUGCAAUCAACAGAAAAUUCUUUGAAAAACAUUACAGGACCUAACUAGUCUAUCUCAAGUGAAUUGUUUGCCCAUUGUGAAGAUAGCUGAAAUUGUAUUAUUACCUAAUAUCUGUAUCUUUCUUGCUGAAAGUGAUUUGAAGAUUUAGGUUGCAGUUAACAGUAGGAGUCUACUAUGAGAGGAAUUGAAUUAAAUCCAGGGAAAUAAAUGCUGCAGCUAUCUAAGACGUUUGUGAAGCUGCAUAUGGAGAACUGUGAACUCUUUUCUCCUUAUUUAAGAAUACUUGCUAAGGUAUUGGAAGCAAAUCAGAAAAAGAUUUAUUAGCUCAAUAUCUGGAAUGGGCAGGUUCAUUUUUGAGGUAGAUUGGACAGGCAAAGUUUGUAAAGGUGUCUGUCUGCUGGAGUUUAGAAAGUGAAAGGAGUCUUAACUGAAACCUGACCGGUGGAACAAACAAGGGGUUGUCUAUUUAAGGCAGAGAUUGGAGUGGUCAAUGUUCCAAUCUCUUUCUUUCUUUCUUUCUUUCUUUUUUUUUUAUUAGUUUUCAAAACAUUUUACAAAUUAAAAACCCCAAAUCCCAAUGAGGAACAUUAAAACAGUGCAAAAUUAAGCAUACAAUAACAAUAUUCUACAAAGGAAGAGAAUUAAGCAAAAAAAAAGCACCUAAAUUAAAGACGUAAGCUUAGUGUCCUCCCCAAGCCCCACAACACAAGAAAAAACAACAACAACUCCAGACCAACCACAACACAAUAUAGAGAGAAUAAGUCAGGACAGCCAAGCUCCCAGACUGUGAAUACACUCAGCAACAGAGGAUAAUAAUGCCUUCUACCAGAAAAAAAAAGGAGCUGAAAGCAAGGGACCAAAAAGAAAAAAAAACCCUAGUCAAGAGGAAGGUUAUGAAAGUACUCGAUAAAAGGUCCCCAGACCUUAUGGAACUUUAGAUCUGAAUUGAGAACUGAAUAAUGAAUUUUUUCGAGGUCCAAACAGGCCAUGAUGUCGUUAAGCCAUUGAGCAUGAGUGGGCGGGCAGCAUCUCUCCAUCUGAGGAGGAUCAAGCAUCGAGCCAGGAGAGAGGCAAAGGAUAAUAUUCGGCACUUGGUCGGACCCAGACAUAAAUCUGUCUCGCCCCAAAAACCGAACAGCAAUUAAGGGGUUUGGUUCUAGGUGCUGAUUCAGAACACACGAUAACGUAGUGAAGACAUCUUUCCAGAAUUUCUCCAAGCUAGGACAGAACCAGUACAUAUGGAUGAGAGAGGCCAAGCCCCUCUUGCAUUUAUCACAGAGCGGACUAACGCUAGGGUAGAAUCGAGAUAGUUUAGAUUUAGACAUAUGGGCUCUAUGAACAAUCUUAAACUGUAAAAGGCAGUGGCGAGCACAAAGAGAGGUUGAGUUAACCGAUUUGAGAACUGAAUCCCAGCUCUCCUCAGAUAAGGAGAUAUUUAAAUCCUGCUCCCAGGCCAUUUUGAUUUUAUCCAUGGGGGCCCAUCGUAAGGCCGCCAGUUUAUCUCGGAUGAUUGAUAUUAAGCCUUUACCUAGUGGAUUCAUGGAAAGAAAUAGGUCCAUAGCAUUUUUCGCAGGCAUUUCAGGGAAGUUAGGAAUUAAAGGAGCAAUAAAGUGUCAGAUUUGGAGAUAUCUGAAAAAAUGAGCAUUGGGCAGAUUGAACUUAACAGAGAGCUGCUGAAAAGAAGCGAAGCGAUUAUCAAUGAAAAGAUCUUCAAAAUGUCUAAUGCCCUUCCUAUACCAAACCUGGAAUGCUGAAUCGUAUGUAGUAGGUAAAAAAAGGUGAUUAUGAGCAAUAGGGCUGGAAAUGGAAAACCCCUGGAAACCAUAGCAUUUCCUGAUCUGAGCCCAUAUACGCAAAGUGUGUCUAAAAAGAGGAUUAGCUAUUGAUCUGGGCAGACUACUAGGGAGUGCAGAGCCAAGAAGUGCAGAGAUAGAUAAUUCUUUAGUGGAGCUCAGCUCCAUCGCCACCCAGUUAGGGCACUCGGGUUGGCCGGGUUGACCAGAAGGUAGCACAACGUAUAUUAGCUGCCCAAUAAUAUAAACGAAAGUUAGGUAAAGCCAUGCCACCCUCUUUUUUAGAUUUUUGGAGAUGGAUUUUAUUAAUUCUAGAGCGCUUAUUCUGCCACAGAUAUGACAAAAUAAUAGAGUCUAAGGAAUCAAAAAAAGAUUUAGGAAUAAAAAUUGGGAUAGAUUGAAAUAGGUAUAAAAAUUUGGGGAGAACAUACAUUUUAACAACAAUAAUACGACCGACCAGAGACAUAGAUAGAGGUGACCAUUGUACCAGACUCUGUUUUAUAGCAUAUGAAAGAUUGGCAAAGUUUUCACGAAAGAGAUCUUUAAACUUCCUUGUGACUGUAAUUCCAAGAUAAGUAAAUUGAUUAUGGACUACUUUAAAAGGGAGAUCAUGAAAUGUUAGUUCUUGUGCUUCUUUAUUAAUUGGGAGAAGUUCACUCUUAUGUAAAUUAAGUUUAUAGCCAGAGAUCUGGCUAAACUGGUCAAGAAGUAAAAACAUUAGAGGUAAGGAUGUAGACGGAUUUGAGAGAAAGCAUAAUAAGUCAUCAGCAUAGAGAGAAACUUUAUGCUCAACACUCACUCUCCAAAUCCCAGUCAAUUCAGGGCAGUUUCAAAAUGCUACUGCCAGAGGUUCCAUAGCCAAAUCAAAGAGAAAGGGACUUAAGGGGCAUCCCUGGCGGGUGCCACGUUUGAGAUUAAAUACUUGGGAUUUCAGAAAAUUGGUUAAAACAGAGGCAGUAGGACACAGGUACAGCAAUUGGAUCCAAGAGAUGAAACUUUGGCCAAGGUCAAAGUUUUCUAAAACUGCAAAAAGGUAGUUCCACUCGAUAUGAUCAAAUGCUUUCUCUGCAUCGAGGGAAAUAACACAUUCAGGAAUCCCAGUUGGAGGUGAGUAUAAGAUACUAAAUAAAUGCUGAAUGUUAAAAAAAGGGAAACGGUUUUUAAUAAAGCCUGUUUGGUCAUCAGAGAUAAUGGAGGGAAUGACGGUUUCUAAUCUAUGAGCCAAAACUUUAGCUAAGAUCUUUACAUCAACAUUGAGCAGAGAGAUCAGCCUAUACGAGGAACACUCUGUUGGGUCUUUUUGCCCUUUUUUAAAAGAAGAAUAAUAGAUGCCUCACUGAAAGAGGGUGGCAAUUUGCCGUAAUGUCAGAUAAUACUGAAAGUAACUGAGGAGAAAGAAGAGAAGAGAAUGAUUUAUAAAAUUCUACAGGGAACCCAUCAGGUCCAGGAGAUUUCCCUGAGGACACUGCAGAAAUUGCAGUGAAUAUUUCUUCUAAUGACAUAGGCGCAUUGAGUUUGGCUUUGAAAUCAGAUGCAAGUGAGGGGAUAUUCAGAUUCUGUAAAAAAUUGAUCAACAGAGAUAUUGUCAUUCAGAGAUUCAGAGGAAUAAAGCCGAGAAUAAAAAUGUUUAAAUGCAUCAUUAAUUUCUAAAUGAUCUGAUGUAAAGUCUCUGUUCUCCUUCCGGAUCUUUGUAAUAUGUUGUUUGGCUUUGGAACGCCUCAGCUGAUUGGCUAGGAAUUUACCAGACUUAUCCCCAUGAAUGUAAAAGCGACUCUUGCUUUCGAGAAGUUGGCAUUUGACAGGUUGAGUGGACAGAAGGUUAAAUUUAGUUUGGAGUUCAACACGCUUCUUGUAUAAUUCAGGGUUCUUAGUUUGGGCAUAUAUUUGAUCCAAUUCUUUAAUCUGGUUAAUGAGGUCUAAUCGAUCUGCACGGGAUCUUCUGUUGAGAUUUGCUGUGUAAGAGAUUAUUUGCCCCCUCAGAUAUGCUUUCAUGGCAUCCCAGACAAUCUGGGAUGGCACUUCAGGUGAUGUAUUAGUGUUAAAAUAAAAGGUUAUCUGAUCCUUAAUAAAUUUUUAAAAAUCAUCAUCCGAUAGUAAAGUUGAAUCAAACCGCCAGUGUUUAUUCCUCUGAGGGAGACCAGGCAAAUUCAGAGAGAGAGUAAUUGGGGCAUGGUCAGAGAUCAGUAUACUCUGAUAGUCACAAGAGUGGGCAAAUGGAAUAAGUUGGUUAUCGAGUAAGAAAUAAUCAGUUCUAGUGAAGGUAUGGUGAACAUGUGAGAAAAAAGAAUAAUCUCUCUCUGUAGGAUGGAGGAAACGCCAUAUAUCAGAGAUACCAUAAUUAGAGAGAAACGAUUGGAUAGCUAAGGCAGAUUUAGUAGGUGGUCUAGUAACAGAGGACGAUCGAUCCAAAUUGGGAUCUAACCAACAAUUAAAGUCACCACCCAGUAUAAGAGAGUAUGAGUUUAAGUCUGGUAGUGAGGAAAAAAUCCGUUCAAAAAAAUUAACAUCGUCAAAGUUGGGGGCAUACAGGCUUGCUAGUGCAACUUUAGUGUUAUAUAGUUUGCCAGAAACAAUAAUAAAACGGCCAUUUAUAUCAGAUAUUUUAUUAUGGAGUUCAAAAGGAAUACCAAUCUCUUUCUUAAAGGAAAUGGAGUGGACAGUUUUUUUGAAGUAGUCAAAUGUUACCAAGUAUGCAGAAAUGUGGAAUUGAAAUCACAAUCUAGUUGGCUAUGACCUUAUGAAUUGCAGGUCAUGCUUGAGGGAUUGCGUGCCCACUCUUGUUCCUAGUUUAUCAAUUCAUAAGUUUGUAUGUUCGAUUCCUCAAUAACAAAUUUCAUGAAACAUGCUGGUGAUAAUAAUCCUGAUUCUGAUUCUGAGUACUGCCAGGCAUCCCAGACCUGAACUUCUUUGGCCCAGAUUUUCCAAUAGCAAUGGUGACAAAACUCUCGGCAUUUGCUGUCAUUGCAGGAUAAAAGUGGCACUAAGUUCUCGAGGUUGUAGAUGAGUGGUUAAACUUGUGACCAGAUAGUGCAAUCAGUAGUUUCCUUGUCAAAAAGGUCAAUUAAACACAAAGCUCAGGGUCAGCCGCUGACUGAAAUAUUGACAUUGUCAGACCUAUUAGCUAAGCAAGAAGCAUGAUUACACCUCUCAUCAUAAAUGGUUAAUAGAGAAUAGUUGAGCACUCUUUAUAGUGCAAGAUUAUCCUUCCAUCCAAUAACAGCAAUAGAAUGUGGUCCAGUUUAAAUGGACCUUGUUAAUUUUGAUAAGGUGAAGCUAACCUAGUUUUAGAAUGCCACUGAUGUAGUGGAGGUCUGAUUAGAACAACUUCAAACAUCCUUGCUUUUUUUGAUUUGCCUUUCAAGAACAAGUACUAGUCAGUGGAAUUUUUUAAUAAAUUUAGCUUCCUAUAAAGACCAAUUAAUUGUAAUCACAAGAAAUUCUGCAGAUGCUGGAAAUCCAAAGCACGCACACGAAAUGCUGGAGGAACUCAGCAGGUCAGGCAGCGUCUAUGGAAAUGAACAAACAGUUGACAUUUUAAGCCAAAACUUUUCUUUGGGACUGAAAAGGAAAGGGGAAGAUGCCAGGAUAAAAAGACGGCAGGAGAGCAAGGAGGGUAGCUAGAAGGAGAUAGGUAAAGCCAGGUGGGUGGGAGAGGUAGAGGCCUGGAGAUGAAGGAAUCUGAUAGGAGUGGAGAGUGGACCAUUGCAGAAAGUGGUGGGGGGGGAGGUUGGCAGAUGAGAAGUAGUAAGAGGCCAGAGUGGGUAUUAGAAGAGGCAAAGGGGAGGGGAAAAUUAUUUUAUCAGAAGGAGAAAUCGAUACUCGGGCCAUCAGGUUGGAGGCUACCCAGACGGAAUGGAAAGUGGCGCUCCUCCACACUGAAGGUAGCCUCAUUAUUGGCACAAGAGGAAGCCAUCAACUGACAUGUCGGAACAGGAAUGGGAAUUGGAAUUAAAAUGUUGAUUCCCACUUUCCAUUUCUGGUGCUUGAGCGUGGAGGUGCUUGAUGAAGUGUUCUCCCAGUUCACAACAGGUUUCAGCAGUGUAGGAGUGGCUGCAUCGGUAGCACCGAAUACAAUAGACAACUUCUGCGGAUUAGCAGGUGACUUGUUGCCUCACUUGGGAGGACUGUUUGGAGCCUUGAAUGGAGGUGCAGGAGGAGAUGAAUGGGCAAUCCAUGGCACUUUGGCCACUUGCUGGGCUAAGUGCCAGGAAGGACAACUGGACAAGGGAAUCAGAGAGGGAGCGAGCCCUGAAGAAAGCGGAGAGCUGGGUGGGGGUGGUUAAAGGUGUGUAGAUAUGUUUGGUGGUAGGAUACUGUUGAAGGUGGCAGAAGUUGCGGAGAAUGAUGUGCUGAAUGCAGAGGCUCAUGGGGUGGUAAGUGAAGACAAGAGGAACUCUAUCACUAUUAAGGCAGAGAGAAGAUAGGAUGAGUGUGGAUGUCCAGAAGGUGGAGGUAAAGCAUGUGGUGGAGGAAGGGGAACCCCAUUUUUUUUGAAGAAGAAAAAGAAUAAUAUCCCUGAUGCCCUGGAAAGGAAAGCACCUUCCUGGGGACAGCUGUGCCAGAGACUCAGAAAAGGAAAUAGCAGUUUUAGAGGAGACAGGGUGGGAAAAGGUAUAGUUAAGGUAGCCCUGGGAAUCGGUAAGUUUAUAAAAGAUGUUAGUAGACAGUUUGUCUCCAGAGAUGGAGACAAAUUGAGAAAGGGGAGAGAGGUGCCAGAAGUUAUAACAAUUUAAGGGCAGGGUGGAAGUUGGAGGCAAAGUUGAUGAAAUCAAUGAGCUCAGCGUGGAUGCAUAAAGCAGCACCAAGGCAGUCGUUAAUGUCGCGGAGGAAGAAUUGGGGAGCAUUACCGGGGAAGGCUUGGAACAUGGACAGUUCUGUGUAGCCAACAAAAAGGCAGGCAUAGCUGUGGACCACGUAAACUCCCAUGGCUUGACCCUCUGAGUCUGGAGAAAGUGGAAGGAGCCAAAGGAGAAAUUGUUGAGAGUGAGGACCAGUUCUGCAAGACCAAGGAGGGGGAAGGGAAUUGGUCGGUUCUUUUGACAAAGAAGCGGAGAGCUUUAAGUCUUUCUUGAUAGGGGAUAGAUUUGGAGAGUAAUUGUUCAAUGAUGCUUAAAAUAAAUACUUCCAUCCAGUUUUAGAGAUUUCUUUCUACAAUCUUUCAAAGGUCAAAAUUUAUGGAGAGUUGUUAAUAUUUAUGGACAUGGGCAAAAUUAUUAAGAAUUUUUCCAGGAAUUAUUUCACCUUAUUUUUAUAAAUGAGUUAGGGAAAACCAAAUGUAUUGUUGGAUUUAUGUAAAUACAAUUGAAAUUCUAGCUUUGAUUCUACUUUCUCAGAUUAGCCUAAGCUUUUGAUUCCAAUAUUCAAUUUUGAAUAAGCAAAGCUUAUUAGAAGUACAGAAGCAAAAGCCUGAAUAGAUACUGUAAGUAGGGAUAUGAUUGCCUUAACAUGUAUGAAGCAAAACUACAGUAUCAUUGUUUUGCGGAAGACUGAUGUCUGAUAAUUUUAAAAAUAGUUGUCAAAAAUAACAAAAAACUUGAGAAACGUAACAAUAAUUUUUUUUUACUAGUUUGAAUAAAAUGAAGGGAGUUUUAUUAAAAAAAAGGAAGAUUGCAGUUCAUUUGAGAGGAUUAAAAUGCUACAAUAAUUCCAUAUACAAAUAACUUACAACAGUAAUGUUAAUAAUGAUAAAUGUGUAACACAUUAGCCAGAAGGAAUGCAAAUAACAUAAAAUGAAUCAGUUGUUUUACCUAUUGAAGGUAUUAUGAGGAUUUUGAUUCAGAUUUAAGAGGAUACUGCCAGAACCCAAGGUUUUGAGUUAUGAGGAGAGGUUGGACAGGCUAGGUAUAGAAAAUCAUGAGGAGGAGACAGAGUGCAUUGCCUUAAGGUGGGAGGUUAAAGAUUUACAAGGGAUUUAAAUGCAGAGGGUGGUGCAUAUAUGGAAUAAACUGUUAGAGGAGUGGUUAAAAUAAAUAACAACAUUUAAAAGACAUUUGGAUAAGAGGGGUUUAGAGGGAUAUGAGACCAACUUGAUCAGCAUGGUUCUCAACCUGUUUUGUACAAGAACUUAUUUGAUAACUUUGUGAUUCAACCAAGGCCCAAAGAAUAUUUUCAGUAGAAAACAGUAUUUUGGGCACAACUUUAAAGGUAAAUACUACAAGUUAAAUGGAAUACUUGAAAAUUUGUAAAGACAGAAAUCAACUUUGAGGGAAAAUCACUGGCAACAUUUUCAACAUUUAGUUUUCUAUUCCCUCCAAGGGACGGACAUCUUUCUAAAAGUGACUGCAUUCCAGUCUGACCCCAGAAGAGCUGCUUCAGUUCAUUCUCUGAAAAGUAUUUUCAGAAGUUUGUGUACAAUUUACUUAAACAAUUGCUGAUUUUAUUUUCACGUUUCACAACUAGGGGAAUUUUACUUCCAUUGUGUUGCAGAGAGACAACAAAAAUCUCAUCAUUUGAAGCUUAUGGGUCCAUAGAAAAAGUUGUUUUUUGAACGUUCAAUGUAAAGGAUGUGUUAAAAUAGUUUAGCUAAUCAAAUGCAUUUGUGAGAUAUGUAAAAUAAGCCAAAUGUUGUUGAAUUUUCUGCCUGAUGGCACUGUAUGCUUCAACUCAUUUAAUUUCAUAUUAAGUACAGCAUAUUUUUCAGUCUAUUAAGUAAGUUUCCAUUUUGUGAAGUAAAUGUACAUCUACACUGCCAACUUCCUGACACACAAUUUGAUCAAAUUUUUUGUAUAAUUGAUAACUUUGAAGGUUUUGUGAAGACAGGUAACAUGUCUUUAACUAAUAAGAUCAUCCUGAGAAAAGUGUUUUAGCAUGUGAAUUUGAAAUAAUUCUUUGAACAUAUCCCAAAUGGUUCCCCUGCAUUGAAUUAGCUUCACCUAUUGUAGGAUCUACUGCUCAACACAGCUCAAACCCUACAAAGCCCCAUAUUCAAAAUGUGCAUCAGCAAUUAUUGUGAAAGUACUUGCAUUAAUAAGUCUUGCAUAUCACCUUUCCAUAAAUGCUACAUCAGAAAAGGUGUGCAUCAUUAGAUUCACCAAAAUUAAGAACCAAUCCAUUGUUUACAAUUUGAUGUGUUCUGGGAUAUUGCACUGUUAAAAGAUGUAAUAGGCUGGAGGGUUUGUUUACUUUUUGCAGCUGACUUCCCCAUAAUUUCAGAGCACGCAUCGAGAGCAGAUCGUUUGACUAAACAUACAAUAGGCAACAAGAGCUGCACAGUGCUUUCUCCUGAAUAGUACGGCCCAUGUGCAUUCAAAUCUGUGGUUUCCAAAUGCCAGCUUUCUGUUUGGAAAUAACAACAAGUUAUAUUUACAGAAGGAGUCUGUAAAUGACAGUGUAAUUUUAAUAUUUUAUAAUGUAGAUUGCUUUUGAUGCUAGACAAAUUAGAACCCCAGUUUUAAGCCAAUAUUUUUGUUUGCUCAGACUGUGAUUGUAAUAUCACAAGAAUUUGCAGCUCAAAGAACAAUUUGAUAAGUUUUCUAAUUCACCAGUUUAAGAAUUCAUAUUGUGAUUAAUGUGCAUACUCUUCCCUGGAACUUUUUAGGACCAAUAUUUUCUAAAAACUAAUGAAUGUAACACAUUUUAAGUUGGACCUGAAACUUCAUAUUCAUAUAACUUUCAUUUUUAAUAAGCAAAAGCAGUUAUUACAUACAGUAUAUCAAAAAGCAUGCACAAUAUGAUCUAUUAUCUAAAUUUUUCAUGUAUAUUUGUGAACUAUGAUUGAUUUGCAGCCUUUAGGAUUAAAAAAAAGUUUACACUAUUUCAAUGGCAAGGCCAACUGAUAUUAUUUCAUUGAAAAAUGGAGUAAAUGCAGUUAGAAUCGUUCAAACUGACACCAAGCAUAGGAGAUUUAAUUAAAAUUACAAUCCCUAGUGGACUAAUACUUGAAAUACAUAUAAUCUGAUAUAAUCACCACCAUUAUGUGCCGUGUUGUUUGAUGUGGGAGAUCGUGGUCUUUCCAUGAACAAGAUUAUUGGCAAAUCUUUCUGUAGAAGUGAUUUGCCAUUGCCUCCUUCUGGGCAGUGUCUACUGGGUUUUCACAAAUUAAACCGUGUUAAAGAAAAGCUGUAACAACUCAAUUAUUGUACUCCAAACACUUAAUGCAGAACAUUUUCACCAAUUACAUUAACCAGGAUAUACACCAGCUAUUCAUACGACCAUUCAGAACCUGCUUGCUCUCUGGCUUGAUGUGACCCUGAUCAGGUGACUAAGUAGGUGCUACACCUUGCCCAAAGAUGACCUGCGGGCUAGUGGAGGGAAGGAGCGUCUUACACCUCCUUUGGUAGAGACAUAACUCCACCCCACCACCUAAUAAUCUUGAUAUAAAAAUUCUAAAUGAAGCUAUGUUAUAUAAAAUUGCUAAACACAAACAAUUCUGCAGAUGCUGGAAAUCCAGAGCAAAACACGCAAGGUCCUUAAGGAACUCAGCAGUUCAGACAGCAUCUUUGGAGACGAUUAACAUUUGACUUUUUGGGUUGAGCCACUUCAUCAAAAUUUGUGUUUGUUAUACAGAACUGCACACUUACAAGAUUUUGAGGUGGUAUGUGAAUUGAAGUAUCCUGUGAAUUUAGAUAUUUGUCCAGUUAAACUUUACUUGAUAAAUGACAAAAUUUACAUAUUACAUCAUCAUAACCAGAAAAUGAAUGGUAUCUUUAAUAAUCACGAUAAUCACUGACAUUGUAAAUUGUUUAUAGAAUGGAGAUUCCUUUUUUAAAACUGAGCAUAUCAUUCAACCUGGCAAAGAUUCAGUCAGAUAUUAUAUUUGUAGCUAAUUUUGUUUCUUAGUAAAGACAAAAGAACGACAAUUGCUGGAAUCUGAAACAACAAACAAGAUACUGGAGGAGCUCAGCUCAGCCCAAAUCCAAAUCUGGAUGAAGGGUGCUGACCCAAACUAUCAACUGCCCACUUUCCUCCUCAAAUGAUUCCUAACCCACUAAGUUCCUCCAGCAUCUUGUUUGUUGGUGAUUUGUUUUACAGUCUGCUGACUAGUUACUGACAGAAAUAAAAAAAAGGCUGAGAAAGUAGACGAAUGCACAUUCUACUUAUCACAUGGGUGAGAACGAAGCACAGGCAGUUUCCAGGAACCUCUCUUUACCCUGUUUCCAGUUAACAUGAAGCAAUAAUAGCUCUGGGAAAAUUUUGGGAAGACAUAACUUCCCACACUCUGGCCUCUUAGAGGUUAUUUCUUUCUUUAGACUUCAUUAUUUUGAGUUGUUUAAUUCCCAUAUGAUAAAAGAUAUAUUGUGUUUUAGAGGGUCAGCCAAAAAGUCACAUAUUUUCAUUAAAAAAUAAGCAGGUCUUUCUGAAGCCACAGAUCUAUUUCCAGUUCAUGUGAAUAAAAAUGACAUUCUUUACCUAAAAUGGAAAUGCUGCAUCAACUACAAACACAAAAUUCACAGAUCAUCAAACCUCAGCAUUGCUCAUAACACAUUCUAGCCAAAUAACGUGCUUUUUUAUUGCAAAGUGCACAUCACAACAUUAAAGCAAUAUUGUGAAUGGUGGAGUAUUGUAGUUCCGGUAUUGCUAGAUACCUGCGCAUCCAAGUCCUAGGUUGUUCACUUCAAUUUUAAUAUAUACGAUUAACUAUGAGGCUCUUCAGCUGUCAAAGAUAUGAUAGCCUCUUUUCCACUCAACACUUUCUUUUCAACAUGUGUCUAAAUAUAGCUAAUGUUUUUACUGUAGUUCAUGACUGUAAUGUUAGAAAGUUAAAAAGAAAUGAAGAAAAGCUCUGCAGAUGUAAUAAAUAUCUCAACAUGGAAAAUACACAGUGGCCGAACUUCUCUCUCAUUGGGUGCAAAUAGUAAUCUCAUGUGGUUGCUUUUAUUAAAUGUUUUAUGGAUAUUAA